UUGAAUAGAAGUAGAUGUUUUGGGGCUGAACCCAAAAAAUGAGGUGAUGAGUGCACUGCUUUCCUGAUUCUUUCUAUCUCUCUCCAUCUAUUGUUUGUUCACAAUAUUAUGUCUUGCUAUUCUUGGUCAUGAUAUUGAUUUAUCACUUGUAGCAAAAUUCAAGGCAUUUUUUUUUAUGUUGUUUUUUGUUUAUUAUGUUUUUUAAGAUUAUUGUUGAAUUUAUCCAGGUCAUGAAAUUGAUUUUUCCAACAUUGGACUUUGUUGUCUCGCUGAUUGACUUGAGGCAUUGAUCUAUUUUUGUGUUUUGUUACAAUCCUCGAAUACACUUGGUUGAUACUGAUUAAUAUGUUGAGAAUCAUAGAUCAUGUAGUUGAUUCCAUUGACAUGAGUCUGUUUGAGACUGUAUUGUUUUAUAUAAGUAUUUGUGAAUGUAUUGUUGAGGAAGACAACAAUCUUUUUUUUUUAAGCAAGCCAAGUUGGAUCUUGAAUGUCUUGAAGCAUGUACUAUAUAAUGCCUUUCUUAUAAUUUGGAAAGUGAGUUGCACAAUUUUUAAGAGGAACUUUUCCUCUCUUUAUCUCUUCUGAAAGAAUUGUUGUAAUUUCCUGUCCUAGAAGGAUAACAGCUACAACAUUAAGUGGAUUAUAAUAAUCUGUGAUAUGUUGAGAAGUCAUGAUCCUCGUAGGCUGAAAAUAUGUAUUGUAAAAGGUGAAGGUGAAGAUGGAGAUGAUGAUGAUGAUGAUGAAGAAGAAGAAGAAGAAGAAGAUGGAAAUGAAGACGAAUGAGUAUGAAGAUGAAGGUGUAUCAUCUUUAGGCAAUAUUGAAUAUGACAAUGCAGAUAUGUUUGGGGAUGAAAACGAUAGUGAAUACGACGAUGAUAAUGAAGAAUUCAAACCAGAUGAAGUUGACUCUCUAUAUCUUGCUUAGAACCUUAGCCUUCUUGCUUAGAACCUUAGCCUUAUAGGUGAUAAACAUGCUCUUGAAGAAUUGUGCUCAAUGUAGCAAUUUUGAAUUUACUAUGGAUGCAAUCUGUUGGUUUUUUUUAUCUAAUACUUUUUACUAAUUAUAGGAUUAAGAAUUUUAUGUAAAUAGUUAUAACUUUUCUCCAUCUAAAUAUUUGAGAUUGCACAGGAUGCAAUU